CCUAGCUGUAAACGAUGAACACUAGGCGUUGCUUGUAUCGACCCGAGCAGUGCCGUAGCCAACGCGUUAAGUGUUCCGCCUGGGGAGUACGCACGCAAGUGUGAAACUCAAAGGAAUUGACGGGGGCCCGCACAAGCGGUGGAGUAUGUGGUUUAAUUCGAUGCAACGCGAAGAACCUUACCAGGACUUGACAUCUCGAGAACUGACUCUAAUAGGUCAGGUGCCUUAGGGAACUCGAAGACAGGUGGUGCAUGGCUGUCGUCAGCUCGUGUCGUGAGAUGUUGGGUUAAGUCCCGCAACGAGCGCAACCCUCGUUCUUAGUUGCCAGCAUUAAGUUGGGCACUUUAGGAAGACUGCCGGUGACAAACCGGAGGAAGGUGGGGAUGACGUCAAGUCAGCAUGCCCCUUACGUUCUGGGCUACACACGUACUACAAUGGUUGGGACAAAGGGCAGCGAGCUCGCGAGAGUAAGCGAAUCUCAUCAAACCCAGCCUCAGUUCAGAUUGCAGGCUGCAACUCGCCUGCAUGAAGGAGGAAUCGCUAGUAAUCGCAGGUCAGCAUACUGCGGUGAAUUCGUUCCCGGGCCUUGUACACUCCGCC
rnacentral:rRNA from 1 species